GAAGGGCAGUAACUCAAUGGUAGAGCAUCUGUUUUGCAUGCAGAAGGUCCCAGGUUCACUUCCUGGUGCCUUCA